rnacentral:rRNA from 1 species
UACGGGGGGUGCGAGCGUUGUCCGGAAUCACUGGGCGUAAAGGGUGCGUAGGUGGCGAGGUAAGUCGGAUGUGAAAGCUCGGAGCUCAACUCCGAAAUGGCAUUGGAAACUACCUUGCUCGAGGGUUGGAGGGGGGACUGGAAUACUUGGUGUAGCAGUGAAAUGCGUAGAUAUCAAGUGGAACACCAGUGGCGAAGGCGAGUCCCUGGACAACUCCUGACACUGAGGCACGAAAGCUAGGGGAGCAAACAGG